rnacentral:rRNA from 1 species
UACGUAGGGUGCGAGCGUUGUCCGGAAUUAUUGGGCGUAAAGGGCUCGUAGGCGGUCUGUCGCGUCGGUAGUGAAAACUCAGGGCUUAACCCUGAGCCUGCUUCCGAUACGGGCAGACUAGAGGUAUGCAGGGGAGAAUGGAAUUCCUGGUGUAGCGGUGAAAUGCGCAGAUAUCAGGAGGAACACCGAUGGCGAAGGCAGGUCUCUGGGCUGUAACUGACGCUGAGGAGCGAAAGCAUGGGGAGCGAACAGG